rnacentral:hammerhead_ribozyme from 1 species
AUCUAAUUGACGAGUCCCAAAUAGGACGAAAAGCUCGGUAAUCUGGAU